rnacentral:rRNA from 1 species
UUGAACGCUGGCGGCAUGCCUUACACAUGCAAGUCGAACGGUAGAGGGGCAACCCUUGAGAGUGGCGAACGGGUGAGUAAUGCAUCGGAACGUGCCCAGUCGUGGGGGAUAACGCAGCGAAAGCUGUGCUAAUACCGCAUGUGAUCUGUGGAUGAAAGCAGGGGACCGCAAGGCCUUGUGCGAUUGGAGCGGCCGAUGUCAGAUUAGCUAGUUGGUAGGGUAAAAGCCUACCAAGGCGACGAUCUAUAGCUG